GACGAACGCUGGCGGCGUGCUUAACACAUGCCAGUCGAACGGUGAAGGGACUGGUUUUGCUGGUCCUGGAUGAGUGGCGAACGGGUGAGUAACACGUGAGUAACCUGCCCCCUUCUUCUGGAUAACCGCAUGAAAGUGUGGCUAAUACGGGAUAUUCUGGGUCUGUCGCAUGGUGGGCCUGGGAAAGAUUGCGCCUUUUUUGGUGUUUUUGGUGGGGGAUGGGCUCGCGGCCUAUCAGCUUGUUGGUGGGGUGAUGGCCUACCAAGGCGGUGACGGGUAGCCGGCCUGAGAGGGUGGACGGUCACACUGGGACUGAGACACGGCCCAGACUCCUACGGGAGGCAGCAGUGGGGAAUAUUGCACAAUGGGCGCAAGCCUGAUGCAGCGACGCCGCGUGAGGGAUGGAGGCCUUCGGGUUGUGAACCUCUUUCGCCAGUGAAGCAGGCCUGCCUCUUUUUGUGGGUGGGUUGACGGUAGCUGGAUAAGAAGCGCCGGCUAACUACGUG
rnacentral:rRNA from 1 species